rnacentral:rRNA from 1 species
UGCUCUACUCCCAUUGGCUCAGAAUGAACGUUGGCGGCGUGGAUCUCGCAUGCAAGUCGCGCGGGUGUAGCAAUACACCAGCGGCGAAAGGGACAGUAAUGUGUAGGUUAUCUGCCUUCGAGACGGGGAUAGCCGCGGGAAACUGCGGGUAAUACCCGAUAACGUCUCCGGACCAAAGGUGUGAGUCCGCUCGAAGAUGAGCCUACAUCCUAUUAGCUAGUUGGCGGGGUAACGGCCCACCAAGGCAUUGAUGGGUAGCGGGUGUGAGAGCACGACCCGCGUCAUUGGGACUGAGACACUGCCCAGACACCUACGGGUGGCUGCAGUCGAGAAUCUUCGGCAAUGGACGCAAGUCUGACCGAGCGACGCCGCGUGCGGGGAUGAAGGGCCUUCGGGUCGUAAACCGCUGUCAGUGGGGGAGGAAGGCCGUGUGAAGAGCAUGGGUUUGACCUAUCCCGCAGAGGAAGUGAGGGCUAAGCUCGUGCCAGCAGCCCGCGGUAAGACGAGCCUCACAAACGUUAUUCGGGAAUUACUGGGCUUAAAGGGUGCGUAGGCGGCGCGGAAAGUUGGGUGUGAAAUCCCUCGGCUCAACCGAGGAAUUGCGCUCAAAACUACCGGUGCUCGAAGGGAGAAUAGAGGAAGUGCGGAAAC